GGCAGAGAAGCAUAACUACUAACCUAACAAGAGAAGUGAGAAACGACGACCAAAUCAACGAAUACCAAAUCAGCGGAGCACUUAAUCACACGACGGAGAUUACGUCUCAACAGUUAACAGUCCAAGGCUCCAAGCUCCGGCGACUAGCAAAGAGGAGUAUCCGGCGACUAUCACGAGUGCGGUGAACAAUCCGGCAACCAGAAAAAGGCACAAGACAGCAACGACCUUAAUGGGUGGCAUUUUUCCGAAGGUGUGAAGUAUAAGAAGCUUGGAGCAAAGAGGAGCUUGUGGAUUUGACUCUAGUUCAUCUUGGCAUCAUUUUGAAGGUGGUGGAGUUUGUGGCUGUUAUUCGAGAGUUUGACGUUAUCACUACAGUUCGACAGUUGUAAGUUUUGGUUUCAGGUACUUCGAAUGAUCGUGGGAAGGCGAAGGCAUGAUCGUACAGCUCCUCACAUUUUAUGAUUUUGAUUUCUGGGAUACUCUGACAUGAAACUAUUUUGAAAGCACUUGUAAUAAUUAAUGGGUUUAAUUGGUUGAAAAGUUUAAAUUUGGCAUGA